UUUGCAUGUUUUCAUCAAUGGUCAACUAUCAGGAACUGUUUAUGGAUCAUUAAACAAUCCUAAGUUAACACUUAGCCAGAAUGUGAAGUUGGCAGCUGGUAUUAACAAGAUUUCUUUGUUAAGUGUUGCUGUGGGUCUACAGAAUGUUGGUGUGCACUUCGAAAAAUGGAAUACUGGAGUUCUUGGCCCAGUCACAUUGAAGGGUUUGAAUGGGGGGUC
rnacentral:misc_RNA from 1 species